CGCGGUAACACCGGCGGCCCGAGUGGUAAUCGUGAUUAUUGGGUCUAAAGGGUCCGUAGCCUGUUUGGUCAGUCCUCCGGGAAAUCUGAUAGCUCAACUAUUAGGCUUUCGGGGGAUACUGCCAGACUUGGAACCGGGAGAGGUAAGAGGUACUACAGGGGUAGAGACCACCUGUGGCGAAGGCGUCUUACCAGAACGGGUUCGACGGUGAGGGACGAAAGCUGGGGGCACGAACCGGAUUAGAUACCCGGGUAGUCCCAGCCGUAAACGAUGCUCGCUAGGUGUCAGGCAUGGCGCGACCGUGUCUGGUGCCGCAGGGAAGCCGUGAAGCGAGCCACCUGGGAAGUACGGCCGCAAGGCUGAAACUUAAAGGAAUUGGCGGGGGAGCACAACAACGGGUGGAGCCUGCGGUUUAAUUGGACUCAACGCCGGACAACUCACCGGGGGCGACAGCACUAUGUAGGCCAAGCUGAAGACUUUGCCUGAAUCGCUGAGAGGAGGUGCAUGGCC
rnacentral:rRNA from 1 species